rnacentral:misc_RNA from 1 species
GGAAGAGGAGGCUUCUUCUUCUUUUCUCGAUCUAAAUCUCUCUAUCUCUUCCCGCUUCCUCUUAGCCAAACCCUACUCACGUUCACUACAGCUCUAUCAUCCCCUUAUUUGGUUCUUAACAACGGGCCGCUCCAUAUUUUAGAAAGAGAGGGAUGACUAUACAGGAGAAUAAUUGAGCUCAAAUCAGGGGGAAAAAACAGGUGCUGAAGGCC